CCCCACCCGAGACCAGCUAAGUUAUUUUCCUUCUCCGUCGGUGCUCAACACCAACAAUUCCUGGCUUCUUGAGAGGUUUCCUCGUCGGUUCCAGGCUCUCUUUCUCUUCCUUGAGCGUAGUUUCUGAUCUCCGGAAACCCUACGCGUUGAGAAGAUGGGUAAGAGGAAGUCGAGGGCAAAGCCGGUUCCCAAGAAGCCACAGCCUAAGCUGGAUGUGUACUUCACCUGCCCCUUCUGCAACCAUGACAAGAGCUUCAACUGCUCCAUGGACAUGAAAAUGAAGAUUGGGGAGGCCUACUGCAGGGUCUGCGAAGAAAGCUAUGCCACCUCCAUCCACCAUAAAUUUAACAGAGCCCAUCGAUAUAUACAGUGAAUGGCUCGAUGAAUGCGAACGGGUCAACUGCUAUGAAGAUGACUUGAGAAAGAGGCCUUGCAUUGCUGAAGUUCCCCAGAUUCUGUGUUGUUUUAGAUAGGCGCAUUUUAUUUGUCGAUGAUCGAAACAAGCUUGUCCUGUCUGGUUGAUACGCAUGCAUUUGUUUGAUAUUUUCUUUUAAUUUGUCAGCAACUGGUAGAAGUGUUCAAGAUGUUAAAGAUAGGAGUAAUUUAACUCAAAUAAAAUGAAAGUUGUUGUUGUUUGGAGU